UACGGGGGGGAGCAAGCGUUGUUCGGAUUUACUGGGCGUAAAGGGCGCGUAGGCGGUCAGCACAAGUCAGUUGUGAAAUCUCCGGGCUUAACUCGGAAAGGUCAACUGAUACUGUGCGACUAGAGUGCAGAAGGGGCAACUGGAAUUCUCGGUGUAGCGGUGAAAUGCGUAGAUAUCGAGAGGAACACCUGCGGCGAAGGCGGGUUGCGUGGGCUGACACUGACGCUGAUGCGCGAAAGCCAGGGGAGCGAACGGG
rnacentral:rRNA from 1 species